rnacentral:rRNA from 1 species
GUGGGGAAUCUUAGACAAUGGGGGCAACCCUGAUCUAGCCAUGCCGCGUGAUCGAUGAAGGCCUUAGGGUUGUAAAGAUCUUUCAGGUGGGAAGAUAAUGACUGUACCACCAGAAGAAGCCCCGGCUAACUCCGUGCCAGCAGCCGCGGUAAUACGGAGGGGGCUAGCGUUGUUCGGAAUUACUGGGCGUAAAGCGCACGUAGGCGGAUUGGAAAGUUGGGGGUGAAAUCCCGGGGCUCAACCCCGGAACUGCCUUCAAAACUCCCAGUCUUGAGUUCGAGAGAGGUGAGUGGAAUUCCGAGUGUAGAGGUGAAAUUCGUAGAUAUUCGGAGGAACACCAGUGGCGAAGGCGGCUCACUGGCUCGAUACUGACGCUGAGGUGCGAAAGCGUGGUGAGCAAACAGGAUUAGAUACCCCAGUAGUCC